GACGAACGCUGGCGGCGUGCCUAAUACAUGCAAGUAGGACGCAGUUGCGAACGGGUGAGUAACGCGUAGGUAACUACCUAUUAGAGGGGGAUAACUAUUGGAAACGAUAGCUAAUACCGCAUACUAGUAGAUGGAACUGCGUUGUAUUAGCACGUAGGUAGGGUAAUGGCCUCACUAGGCAACGGUACAUAGCCGACCGUGACGUGGUAUCGGCCACACUGGGCCUGAUACACGGCCCAGACUCCUACUGGCGGCAGCAGUAGGGAAUCUUCGGCAAUGGGGGGAACCCUGACCGAGCAACGCCGCUGGAGUGAUGAAGGGUUUCGGAUCGUAAAGCUCUGUUGUUAAGGAAGCGGUACUUAACCAGAAAGGGACGGCUAACUACGGGCCAGCAGCCGCGGUAAUUC
rnacentral:rRNA from 1 species